ACGGCUGAGUAACGCGUGGGAAUUUGCCCCAAAGUGAGGGAUAACUGCUCGAAAGGGUAGCUAAUACCGCAUAUGGUCUUCGGAUUAAAGAAUUUAUUCGCUUUGGGAGAAGCCCGCGUUGGAUUAGGUUGUUGGUAGGGUAAUGGCCUACCAAGCCGACGAUCCAUAACCGGUCUGAGAGGAUGAUCAGUCAGACUGGAACUGAGACACGGUCCAGACUCCUACGGGAGGCAGCAGUGAGGAAUCUUCCACAAUGGGCGAAAGCCUGAUGGAGCAACGCCGCGUGCAGGAUGAAGGCCUUCGGGAUGUAAACUGCUUUUAUGAACGAAGAAUAUGACGGUAGUUCAUGAAUAAGCACCGGCUAACUACGUGCCAGCAGCCGCGGUCAUACGUAGGGUGCAAGCAUUAUCCGGAGUGACUGGGCGUAAAGAGUUGCGUAGGCGGUCUGAUUAGCGAAUAGUGAAACCUGGUGGCUCAACCAUACAGACUAUUAUUCGAACUGUCAGACUCGAGAGUGGUAGAGGUAACUGGAAUUUCUUGUGUAGGAGUGAAAUCCGUAGAUAUAAGAAGGAACACCAAUGGCGUAGGCAGGUUACUGGACCAUUUCUGACGCUAAGGCACGAAAGCGUGGGGAGCGAACCGGAUUAGAUACCCGGGUAGUCCACGCCGUAAACGAUGGAUACUAGCUGUUUGGGGUAUCGACCCCUCAAGUAGCGAAGCUAACGCGUUAAGUAUCCCGCCUGUGGAGUACGGCCGCAAGGCUAAAACAUAAAGGAAUUGACGGGGACCCGCACAAGCGGUGGAUUAUGUUCUUUAAUUCGAUGAUAACCGAAGAACCUUACCAGGGCUUGACAUCCAGGGAAGGACUACGAAAGUAGUUUG
rnacentral:rRNA from 1 species